rnacentral:lncRNA from 1 species
GACCCGACCCGACCCGACCCGAUCUUCAACCGGGUCGGGUCUGGGUCCAAAAUUAGGACCCGAACAAAAAAUCGGGUCGGAUCGGGGUCACUCAGGACCCAACCCGACCCGAUCCAUUUACACCCCUACCUGUAUUAAAUCUCAAUGCUCAGAUAGUGCCAUGCGCCCAAUUUACCUCACAUAUAAUGCUUCUUUUUCUAGCUUCAUGUUACUCUUCUUCUAUUAUGUGGAGCUCGCCCUAAGCUUUGAAGGCAUGUCUCCCAAAAUUCUAAAGCAAAUCUUAAUAUUAAAAUCUACAUGAAACAACAAAGAACUAAACCACAUGUUUUAAUCAAGAAAUACAAAUUUUCUAGUACCGACAAGUUUAGAUACAAAUACAUCAAGACCAUUUUUUUCUUUCAGGUGACCAUUCAGAAGAACAGGCCAGAGAUGUCUGCAUGAUGCAUACUGAGAGCUCUGUGCUUGUGCCCACAAGAGGUCCUUGAUCUUCUUGCAGUGCAUGCAGCAUGAAAUCCUCAAUUAAGAAAAUGCUCCUGGAUUCAAUAUCUUUAGCAAUAAGUGAUCUCACACACCUCCAUCAAGGACUCUCUCAAAGUUCUGGAUUCCUGAAAUGAUUUAGUCCCUAAUGUCCAUAACAAAGUGCAGUUGGGAUCCUUCCUGCUGUACAAGCCAUUACCUUUGUAAAAAUAUUUGGAAAAAAAAAUGUGAACAUAAAAAUGAGAGCCUACUUCAUAGCCAUAUAAAAAGGUUCUUUGGAGGAACAUUAGUAAUUACAGUUACAGAAGUAUUUAACUCAGCCGGAGUAAUAUUCACAUCUUGUAUUAGGUUCUCAGCCAACUAAUAAGGGCACCUUAAAAGCAUGAACCAACCAUCCACCACCACCAGAUAAUCGAUGACAACUACGAAAACUAUCAGCUUGUUUUUCAGAUUGAUUCCUUUUCUUUUUUUCUUUUUCUUUUCUCAUUAACAAAAAUUGAGCGACCGCGUGAAGUGCUAGGAUGUGCAGCGAGAUAAUACAAAAUUAGUGAAUAUUUUCACCAACAAGGGUAACAUCCAUUUGAUCAUAAAUUUCUCCAUGCCUGCUCCAACUAGCCAUGCUGAAAUAUGAUUUCUGACAGAUCAUCGAGGAGACAGAUUUUUUUUCUUAUUUUCAAGAUAUUACAAGCAGUAAUUGAAUUCCAAAACGUCACUUUUAUAAGAAUUACCAUACUGUCCGACACUACCAGGGCAAAGAUGAGCAAGGGAAUAAAUUUUGAAAUGGUACCACAAAACAUCUUGGCUGUAGAAAUCUCUAAGAACAAAGUGAGUCGAAGCAACUAAAAUGCAAAUCCAUAAGCUCUGUAACCUUUCGCAUAUGCAAUAUACCAGCUCAGAGCUCUGUGACAUUUAGGAUAUGCAAUUUCUCUGUCACCACCUCUCUUCUAACAAGCGGAUGAAAUUGGAUCAAGUCAAAAUCUGUCCUAAAAGUUCACAUAUUUUAUUGUAUUGCAUCUAAAGGAAUUCAAAAGGUUUAAUUUACUCUGCUCUAGAUCUGCCAUAGGAAAUUUACAACGAAAAGAAACCAAGCGAUCAAAAAAAAAUGGGGGGAUUCCCUGCAAAAUCUUAAUAGCUAUACAAUCCGUAACAAAAUUUAUGCAAAUAUUCAAAUACCGAGAAGUUUUACGGGAACGGCACGGAUUUCUGAUAGCCGAUGGCGCAAUCCUCCCCUUCUUCCUCAGGUCUCUCUCCCUCCGAAAGGAUCGGUAUGGGGAAGAAAGAGUAGGAUAGCGGAGGCCGCGCCGGCGGGACACCGGCGGCGGCGGAGCACGGCGGGUGGAGCCGACCGACGGCGGAGGUGCCGCAGCGAAGGGGAAAUCGCGAAGAGGACGGUCAAGGAAAUGUCGUGUGGAGCCUCGAACACCGUCUCCCGGCGGCUGCGGAACACGGCGGGGUGGAGCGCAUCGACGGCGGAGGUGGAGCAGCGGAUGGGAAAUCGCGAAGAGGACGGGACACGGGAAUGUCGCGUGGAGCCUCGAACACCGUACAAAAAUGUUAGAAAAGGGCUAAU